GAUGAAGAACGUAGCGAAAUGCGAUAAGUAAUGUGAAUUGCAGAAUUCAGUGAAUCAUCGAAUCUUUGAACGCACAUUGCGCCCAUUAGUAUUCUAGUGGGCAUGCCUGUUCGAGCGUCAUUAAUUCCACUUAAGCCCUGCUUAGUGUUGGGAAUCUACUCUAGUGGUGCUACCCUGGAGCUACCCCUGAAAGGGGGCUGGCCCGGUAGCUACCCUGUAGUUCCUCAAAGAUAGUGCGCGGAGUUGCGUGGUCCUCUGAGCUUAGUAACUAUACACCUAGCUUUUGAGUGUCCCGCGGCGCCUGCCGUUUAAACCCCAUCUUUUAAUGGUUGACCUCGGAUCAGGUAGGAAUACCCGCUGAACUUAAGCAUACCAAUAAGCGGAGGA
rnacentral:misc_RNA from 1 species